rnacentral:rRNA from 1 species
UACGUAGGGUGCAAGCGUUGUCCGGAUUUAUUGGGCGUAAAGAGCUCGUAGGCGGUGUGUCACGUCGGCCGUGAAAACCUGCAGCUUAACUGUGGGCGUGCGGUCGAUACGGGCAUCACUGGAGUUCGGCAGGGGAGACUGGAAUUCCUGGUGUAGCGGUGAAAUGCGCAGAUAUCAGGAGGAACACCGGUGGCGAAGGCGGGUCGCUGGGCCGAUACUGACGCUGAGGAGCGAAAGCGUGGGGAGCAAACAGG